UAGGGAAUCUUCCGCAAUGGGCGAAAGCCUGACGGAGCAACGCCGCGUGAGUGAUGAAGGUCUUCGGAUCGUAAAACUCUGUUAUUAGGGAAGAACAAAUGUGUAAGUAACUAUGCACGUCUUGACGGUACCUAAUCAGAAAGCCACGGCUAACUACGUGCCAGCAGCCGCGGUAAUACGUAGGUGGCAAGCGUUAUCCGGAAUUAUUGGGCGUAAAGCGCGCGUAGGCGGUUUUUUAAGUCUGAUGUGAAAGCCCACGGCUCAACCGUGGAGGGUCAUUGGAAACUGGAAAACUUGAGUGCAGAAGAGGAAAGUGGAAUUCCAUGUGUAGCGGUGAUAUGCGCAGAGAUAUGGAGGAACACCAGUGGCGAAGGCGACUUUCUGGUCUGUAACUGACGCUGAUGUGCGAAAGCGUGGGGAUCAAACAGG
rnacentral:rRNA from 1 species